AGAACUCCGUGGUUAAGCGUGCUUGG
rnacentral:rRNA from 1 species